UACGGGAGGAGCAAGCGUUGUUCGGAUUUACUGGGCGUAAAGGGCGCGUAGGCGGUCAGCACAAGUCAAUUGUGAAAUCUCCGAGCUUAACUCGGAAAGGUCAACUGAAACUGUGCGACUAGAGUGCGGAAGGGGCAACUGGAAUUCUCGGUGUAGCGGUGAAAUGCGUAGAUAUCAAGAGGAACACCUGAGGUGAAGACGGGUUGCUGGGCCAACACUGACGCUGAUGCGCGAAAGCCAGGGGAGCAAACGGG
rnacentral:rRNA from 1 species